rnacentral:rRNA from 1 species
UUUAUUUGAGAGUUUGAUCCUGGCUCAGGACGAACGCUGGCGGCGUGCCUAAUACAUGCAAGUUGAGCGAUGAAGAUUGGUGCUUGCACCAAUUUGAAGAGCAGCGAACGGGUGAGUAACGCGUGGGGAAUCUGCCUUUGAGCGGGGGACAACAUUUGGAAACGAAUGCUAAUACCGCAUAACAACUUUAAACAUAAGUUUUAAGUUUAAAGAUGCAAUUGCAUCACUCAAAGAUGAUCCCGCGUUGUAUUA